CUUUUAUGGAGAGUUUGAUCCUGGCUCAGGACGAACGCUGGCGGCGUGCUUAACACAUGCAAGUCGAACGAGACGAUUGAAAGCUUGCUUUUG
rnacentral:rRNA from 1 species